rnacentral:rRNA from 1 species
GACGAACGCUGGCGGCGUGCCUAAUACAUGCAAGUCGAACGCAGUGGGGACGGGUGAGUAACACGUGGGUAACCUCCCAUCAGAGGGGAUAAAACUUUGAAACAGGUGCUAAACCGAUACUGCUGGAUGGACCCGCGGUGCAUUAGCUAUGUGGUGGGGUAACGCCUCACCAAGGCGACGAUGCCUAGCCGGCCUGAGAGGGUGAUCAGCCACACUGGAACUGAGACACGGCCCAGACUCCUACGGGAGGCAGCAGUAGGGAAUAUUGGGUAAUGGACGCAAGCCUGACCGAGCAAUGCCGCGUGAGUGAAGAAGGCUUUCGGAUCGUAAAACUCUGUCGUUAGAGAAGCGUUAUCUAACCAGAAAGCCCCGGCUAACUCCGUGCCAGCCGCCGCGGUAAUAC